CUUCAGACCUACAGGGGAUUCAGAGAAGAGUGGCAGAAGGAACAUGCAACGUGAACUAUCAAUUUCGGCUACCGUUCGGGGCAAACCAAAAACUGAACGAUGUCAUCUUCAUGUGAUUCCUAUACUUUGUGACUGAUGUGUUCAAGACAGACUUGUGUAGACUUCUCUCUUCGGAUAUCUCAUCCAGCAAUGUCACCAGAGAACGUGUAACUGACCAUUUUAUCACGCUAACCCGCUGACUGAAGCUAAUAGUCAUUGAGCUGGUCAAUACAUUCCUCUCCAUUUAUGGAACUCGAAAGUUAAUUGCGGUGUCCACAAGACUCCGCCACUGAUUUCUAACGAGGGUCAGAUUAAUCCAGUCCACGUCCUGAUAUCACAUUUCUCCAAGAUCAAUUUUAAUAUUAUCCUCCCAUCUAAGCCGAAGUUGUCCGACUGAGUUGAAUGUAUUUCUUAUCUAUUCCAUGCGUGCUAUAUUCCCCGUCUUUAUCAAACUCCUCAACUUGACAUCCAAGUAAUUUUUGGUGAACUCACGGCCUGCAUUUUGCAACAAUAACAGGGCAAACUCUCAGAGUAUUUUGGUUUGAUGCCUGCAACU